AUUAAUUUCGAAUAUUGGUCGAUGAGACGGAUUAUUGUAUUAUAAUUGUUCUGUAAAUAUAAAUUGUAAUUCCUGAAAGUUAUGAAUUUCAUUUAAUCGUCUUGCAUCUUGAAAUAACACUUCAGAAGUGGGAUCUUUUCAAAUUGUCUGGACCUUACAUCGGUGGAUUGGGGAAAGGACAAAGAAAGUACAAGACAGAAAGUUCGGAAGAUGAAAACAAUGGAAUUUUUUUUUCGGAAGACCAUGAACCACGCACGAAAUGUAGCAUCUACGGUGAAAAUACAAUUUCAUGUAUAAUUCGAGAUGAGGGCCAAUGCAAAGGCAUAGUUGUGAAACUCCCGAACAACUGUACCAUGGCUACAUGUCGUCACUGGAGAACCUGAUACCCGUGGGUUCAACUAGUACACGCAGAACUUCAUUGUGCCCAAUGGAACUUCGACUGUUCAACAACAGCCCAAGAUUUACUACGUUUGCCGGCGUCCUGGACACGAAGCAAAGGAUUGCAGACAACAACAGCGCUGCGAGAACUGUCGGCGCAGCGGACACACCACGGCUACGUGCUGGUUUGCUCCGAGUUCUUCACACUUAGCGACAAAAUGUUACCCAGGUAAUGCUAACUUAUAACUUAUGACAUAUUUGUGACAUUUAUAAGAGAAUUGUGAUCGUAAAUAAUUGCCAGAUCAUUAGCAGCGUACGUUGAUACAAACUGAAUAAUAUGCUUUAAAUUUUGCGAGCAAAAGAUUUACAAUUAGAGAUUCAAUCUAGCACUACAGUUAUGAAAGGUUUUGGCGGCGCCUGUGUGAAUUUAUUAUGUACAUGUUAUCUGUGUGUUUCAAUAGACAAUGUCGAACUAAAAAGUGCAGUAGAAUUGACUAGCUGUUUUACAUUUGAUGCUGAUUUAAUAAUUGGUCAAACAAUGAUUAAUAGUGACAAUAUAAGCUUAAUAACUUCUGCUGCUUCUAUUCGUUUUGUGCAAAAGAAUGCCGUACAAGAAAUAAUUACUGACAUUAAUUUGAAAUCAUCCGACUUUAAUAGAAAAUACCCAAUUUAUUUAAAGCACUCCGUAAAUAUCCCUGUUGUAAUAUUAUGUUGAUUGUGAUAUAGAAUUACGAGCAGAGUUCACAUUUUUGAUUGAACUGUAUGGGUGCAAAUAGUGACUUAAUAUACCUAACGUAUUUCAUACCUGCAGCUGUCAUCAAAUCGCACAAUACUUAUUUGAAAAUUCUUAACUUAGGUAAUGUUAAUCUGUCGUGGGUGGGGCGUUGAUAAUAAUUAGUAACCAUGCCAGAGACGAGUAGUGAGCCUGUGGUCCUUAAUAUAGACAAGUAUCAGACAGUUAGAUUACAAAUUGAUCUCUCAGACACAAACGUGGACCAAAUUAGUGACACUGAGAAUAAGCAAUGACUACAGCUGCUCUAAUUCGUUUGCUAAAAAUAUUAGAGACUAGCUACUUUCGCACGGUUUCACCCGCUCUGCUCGGCUUCUAUUGGUCAUAGCGUGAUGUUUUAUAGCCUAUAGCCUUCCUCGAUAAAUGCACUACCCAACACAAAAAGAAUUAUUCAAUUCGAACCAGUAGUUCCGGAGAUUAGCGCGUUCAAACAAACAAAAACAAACAAACAAACUCUUCAGCUUUAUAAUAUUAGUAUAGAUUAGUAUAGAUAGAUUUAGGAUGCACAGACCUUAUAAAAAUGCAUAUUCGUAGUUCGUACUAGUAAUGACCAGCCAGUACAUUGUAAGCCUUAUACACGGUGUAACAAAAAGGGGGGUAUACAUAUCAAGUGCACGGUUUCUAGACAACAUAAAAAAAAAAACAUAUGGGAAGGUUUUUUUUUAAACUUAUGUUUUCCUGGAACGUAGUUAUGAAUUUUUCCAAUACAUAAAAUUCCAAAAACCGAAUAUCAGAAUUAGGUAGAUACAGGUACUAGGCGAUCAGAUUUACAGAAUAAAUGUUUCGUAAUUAGCGAGUGACCCCUGUGAUGUUGUGAUACGUUAGUAUGAUGAUUUUAAAUCAAGAACCAUGCGACACCAAGUAUUUGGUACCAAUUUUUUUAAAUGUAUUUUAAGCUGAAACUUUGUGUAGAGAUUAUAAUUAUUCAACCAGUAUUCUUCAGUGCUUCUUGAUGUAUAUGGAUAUUUUGUUACACGCUAUAGAUUUCACAAGGAGAACGAAAUAGUAAAUAAUUUAAAAAAAUAUUAGAUGCAGGUAUAAUAAGGGUGUCAAUGUUACAUUACUCUAGUCCCGUAGUGUGUUAGUGUUAGUGAAGAAAAAGGGAGGUGAUCAUAGGCUUUGUGUAGACUAUAGGGCUCUUAAUUCCAACACUAUUAAGACCGUUAUCCAUUACCUCAUAUAGUAGAUAAAGUAAAUAAGCUGUCGGGAAAAUAUUACUUUACGACACUAGAUUUAGCCCAAAGCAACUGCCAAGUAGGGAUGCAUAAGGAUUCAACACAUAAUGCAAUCGCAUUCGUAACUCUGUCGAGUCAAUAUGAAUUUCUUAAGAUGCCGUUUGGAUUGGCUAAUGCCUCGGUUAUAUUUUCCCGUUUAAUUCAAAUGACACUUGGUAGAGUAGAUCAAAAUAUUGCCCUAUAUCUUGAUGACGUUUUGGUGCCAACUGUAUCUGUACAGGAGGGAUUAAAGUUUCUGGAAAAAUACUGCAACUACUAACAAAGGUUAAUUUAAAAUUGAACCUGAGCAAAUGUUCUUUCCUUAAAAGUACUGCUUACAUAUUUAGGUCACGCAAUUUCGGCUGGAACUAUUCAACCAGGCGAAGCUAAAGUCAAAUGUGUCGCAAGAUAUAGUCCACCACGGAAUGUACACGAAAUUAGGCAGUUUAUAGGGUCAACCCGGUACUUUAGGAAAUAAAAAAAAUGCUUAGGUUGCACGUCCCCUUACAGAACUGACUAAGAAAGAUGUUAAUUGGCAUUGGGAUGUUGAUCAUGAAAAGGCUUUUCAAACUCUUAAGCAACGUUUAAUUUUAUUGAAAGACCGGUUUUAGCCAGAAGCUAAUACUGAAUUACAUACAGACGCCAGUAUAAUAAGCUUGGGCGGUAUACUAAUGCAAUAUCAGUCAGAUGACAGUUUGAAACCAAUAGCGUAUUUCAGUAGAGUGACAAGUAAAGAGGAAUCUAACUAUCAUAGUUUUGAACUUGAAACACUAGCCGUCGUAGAGUCCCUUAAACGUUUCCGUGUCUAUUUAAUUGGUAUACUAGUCAAGGUCAUUACGGACUGUUCAGUAUUGAGAACUACCAUUAUUAAAAAGGAUUUAAUCCCUCGUAUUGCUCGACAGUGGCUCCCGAUCCAAGAUUACAACUUAGAGAUUGAGUACAGGCCAGGUAAUCGCAUGAGACAUACAGACGCAUUAAAUAGAAAUCCCAUACCAAAUACCUACCUACAGUGCUAAUGAUUAAUAAUUCAAAUUGGUUAGUUACUCUUCAAUUUUUCUUGAUAAUAUCCAAAAUGAUACUAGGCAUCGCGAUAAUAGUGAUUGUAACUUGACUGCAAAUUAUAUCGUUAAAGAUGGGAUCUUAUUUAGGAAAACUGUUGCUGGAGAACGUUAAGCUUGCCAAAUAUGGGCUAUUGCAGAAACUACAUGAUCAGAUAGGUCAUCCAGGACUUGAGAAAUGUGAACAAUUUAUUUAUUAAAGGGCAUUUCUGGUUCGAAGGCAUGGCUAAGUUUAUUUGAAAAUACUUUAAUUCAUGUUUACAAUGUGCUUUUAAUAAGAGAAAUUAUGGGAGGUUACACGAUGAGCUCCAUCUAUUUGAGAAAUCUACAAUACCUAUGCACACGAUCCAUGCCGACCACGUGGGUCCUUUCAUUAAACGCAGACGCUUUUAAUAAAUUCGUGGUUGCCCGACCUGCUAAAAUUGUAGCUCAGUAGAAACAAUUAGACUUCUUCUUAAAUUAUCAUACAGUUUGGCUAUCCGGUUAGAGUUAUCACUGACAGAGGUUAAGUUUUUACUAGUAGGUAUUUCAAACAGUUCCCUGAAGAAAACCAAUUUAAACAUGUUUUAAAUGUUAUAGGCAGCCCCAAACUCUGCUGUGUUAUCAGAAAUAUUUCAGCUAAAAGUCCAUCCAUUAAAAUUUAAAUCACGUUAUUCAGUCUUUCUUCGUAAAGAAAUUGUUCUGUGUGAAUGAGUAGGUAGUCUUUUGAUCUAAUUCAGUCAACAUUGGAAAAAAUAACUGGGUGCUAGUCCUAAGCUAAAAUAAUAUCUGCUGAAUUAAAAGGACAGCUGUGUGAUCAAGUCCAUGAUUAAAAGGACAGCUGUGUGAUCAAGUCCAUUAUUAAAAGGAUAGCUGUGUGACCAAGUCCGUGAUUAAAAGGAUAGCUGUGUGAUCAAGUCCGUGAUUAAAAGGACAGCUGUGUGAUCAAGUCCAUUAUUAAAAGGACAGCUGUGUGAUCAAGUCCAUUAUUAAAAGGACAGCUGUGUGAUCAAGUCCAUUAUUAAAAGGACAGCUGUGUGAUCAAGUCCAUUAUUAAAAGGAUAGCUGUGUGAUCAAGUCCUUGAUUAAAAGGACAGCUGUGUGAUCAAGUCCAUUAUUAAAAGGAUAGCUGUGUGAUCAAGUCCGUGAUUAAAAGGACAGCUGUGUGAUCAAGUCCAUUAUUAAAAGAAUAACUAUCUAAUAAAAUCCGUGAUUAAAAGGAUAGCUGUGUGAUCAAGUCUUUCAUUAAAAGGACAGCUGUGUGAUCAAGUCCAUUACUAAAAGGACAGCUGUGUGACCAAGUCCGUGAUUAAAAGGACAACUGUGUGAACAAGUCCUUGAUUAAAAGACUGCUGUGUGGUCAAGUUCUUGAUUAAAAGAAUGGCUAUGUGAACACUGUCCGCUGCAUUAAAGUGAUUUGAUUUAGAUAGCUGUAUUGUAUGUAAAAUGUAAUUUACCAGGUUGGCCUCUUAAACUAUUAGUACGAUAUACAAUAGAUACUGCUGGAUGUUUUAUUUGUUUCAGAAAUUUGCAUCUGCAAACGGAAAUCACAGCGAAGACCGUGGGACACGUUCUGCACAGGAUGGCCGAGUGUUAACAACCACUAGCAACACCAGACAGAUAUAAUGUAGGAUGUAAUUAUAAUAUAAAAAGGAUAGUAUUUAAUUACUGAGUACUAUUCAUAGGAAUAAAUAUAUUAAACCUCUUUCAUCAUUUCAUAGACAAUAUAAAUUGUUUAAAAAUAAUUGUUAGCUGAAAUGGAACGUCAAAUGAUAUAUUUAAAAAUGGCGGGAAAUAAUUAAUUCGAAUAUUGGUCGAUGAGACGGAUUAUUAUUGUUUUAUAAUUGUUCUGUAAAUAUAAAUUGUAAUUCCUGAAA